rnacentral:rRNA from 1 species
UACGUAGGGUGCGAGCGUUAAUCGGAAUUACUGGGCGUAAAGCGUGCGUAGGCGGUUCGUUAAGUCAGGCGUGAAAUCCCCGGGCUUAACCUGGGAAUUGCGCUUGAAACUAGCGGGCUUGAGUGUGGCAGAGGGGGGUGGAAUUCCACGUGUAGCAGUGAAAUGCGUAGAGAUGUGGAGGAACACCGAUGGCGAAGGCAGCCCCCUGGGUCAACACUGACACUCAUGCACGAAAGCGUGGGGAGCAAACAGG